UGUGAUAAAGUCUUGCAUUGUGAGUGCCCUUAUUACCAACUCUCUACAAGUCUUGAAAUUAAAUGCUUUUAAAAAUAUAAAAUAAAACUUUUCAUUAAGUGUGGGUGUUUUAUCUCAGUUUUAUUUUAUUUCUUAUGACAUAGCGCGUCUUGAAAAUAACGUGAUGACACUCACCAUUAAGACUGACCUCAUUGAGUUUAAGUACUUGACUCAACUUAACACAGGUGCUCUCUUUUUUUUUAUUUUUUUUCAACAUUUAGUGACAUUGUUCUUUUCGUGAUAUAGUUGUUCAAAGUCGCCCAUGAAGAUAGAAUUUAAGAGCAUCUCCAAGAGUCUUUGCAAAUCUUAUUCUCUAAAACAAUCAUUUAGAGAAUCAUUUCCAUAAAAAUUGAUUUCUAUAUUUUUUCACUCUCCAAUAGUUUUUCUAUCUCUGAUGUGCACUCCAGAGAGUCAUUCUCGUCUUCUAUUUUUGGCUAGCGAAAAAUCUAAAAUAGAAGACGGUUAUAUUUGGAUAACCAUUUAGACAAGCUGUUGCAAGGUAAUUUUUCACCAAAAUCUCUAUUCCUAGAAUUUAGAAAGAAUUUAGAGAGUCUAACAUCAUUAUUUUUUUUCUAGUCGUCUUUCAGAGGGGCUCAUAAGAAAGUAUGUCUAUCAAUUGUGAUUGAAAAAAAAAGACAAAGUAAUUAGCAAGAGGUUUGAAUUUACGCUAGAUCAAACGAGAAGGUUGAAACUUAUUAGAAACAGAAAGAUGAAUAUUUGACUACUAUUAAUCAAAUAUGUACUUUUAAAGUGUGGAUCAGAACGAUGUCUAAGUAGGUCACUAAAAAAAGAUCUAAAUACAAAUGGAGUAGGUCAUCCUUUUUAAAUAAAUACAUCAUUAUUGGUCACGAGGUGUGGUGCUAUUAGCAACACUCGUGGGUCCGUCUGCGGGCAGACGAUAGCGGUGUGCACGCUGCCAGUAGACGACAGCGGCACAUAGGGCUAUGGACGAGCCGCGAUGCAUG
rnacentral:lncRNA from 1 species